CAUUCAGGUAGCAAUAUUUGGAUGUCGGAGUGGCGCAAGGGUGCGUAACACGUGGGUAAUCUGCCAUGAAGACUGGGAUAACUUGCUGAAAGGCGAGCUAAUACCGGAUGUGAAAAUUGGAAGGCAUCUUUUGAUUUUCAAAGUUGGGGAUCGUAAGACCUGACGCUUCAUGAUGAGCCCGCGGCCUAUCAGCUAGUUGGUAAGGUAACGGCUUACCAAGGCUAAGACGGGUAGCUGGUCUGAGAGGACGACCAGUCACACUGGAACUGAGACACGGUCCAGACACCUACGGGUGGCAGCAGUCGAGAAUUUUUCUCAAUGGGCGAAAGCCUGAAGGAGCGACGCCGCGUGGGGGAUGAAUGGCUUCGGC
rnacentral:rRNA from 1 species